UCAUCCUCAGGCAAAGCCUGUGUCUUCUCAACACACUCCUGUGUCAGACAAUGAGACCCUGCGCUUUGCAUUUGUUCUACCAUCACCCGUGACGGAGCACAUUGGGUUGCCUGUGAUUACUCCAUUCAAGAGAGUACUUGAAGUGCCAUGAAUACUGGUUUAAUCCCAAGAGAUUUUUCUAUCUUGCUGUAUCUACAUAGGACCCAAUUAUACCAAAUCAUGAAGUUCAAUGAUCAUACUCUACUCGCCAAGACUUCAGACUUGAGCUAUCCAUCCCAUCAUGCUCCUGUUCUUGAUAUUCUGUCAAAGAGCUACAGGCCUUCCACACUCCUUAUUUCCUGAAGAAUCAAGAUAUGGUAUAGGCCCUUUUCUCACUUCUUAUUGUAUUAUCUGCUUCAUAAAACAACUUGUACCCUCCAGAACGUACCCCUAGCUACUUACCCUGGGUAAACUCCAGUCUUUAGUCUAGAUUAUACUUUUCCCAAGUGAACUGCCCUCCAAGCUCUUUUGCUCAGUUUCAGAAACUCAGUGAUACCAGGCCCCAUAACACACAGGUCCUGUUGUUAAAUUAAAUUUUACUAUGUUGUUUUGUAAUUAUCUGUCUCCUCAAUAAGCCAUGGACCAGAGCAUACUCAUACUUUAGGCCCAAUGUUUUUCCUAAGCUUCAUAUAGUGCUAGAUACCUAGUAUUUGCACAAAAUGUUUUUGUUAAAUAACUUUGUAAAAUGAGAGGGUAAGCUGUCGAUAGUUUUUAAAUGGGAGCUCCAGACGUUAAGGACUGAGAAGAGAGCCUAGGAGCAGCACAGAGCAGCUCUUGUUUUUGUUGGAUUUGCAACUGUGUCUGUAGUGGAAAGAGUUUAAUCUUCGAAGUGGGUGUGCUGUUUUUUUGGAGACCUCGAGCAAGUUUCUGAGCCUCCUUUUUCUCAUUUGUUAAAAGGGACUAACAGUAUC